rnacentral:misc_RNA from 1 species
GAUGAAGAACGCAGUGAAAUGCGAUAAGUAAUGUGAAUUGCAGAAUUCAGUGAAUCAUCGAAUCUUGAACGCACCUUGCGCCCUUUGGCCAUUCCGAAGGGCAUGCCUGUUUGAGUAUCAUGAACACCUCAACUCUUUAUGGUUUUCCAUGAUGAGCUUGGACUCUGGGGGUUUUGCUGGCUCACAGUCGGCUCCUCUAAAAUGAAUCAGCUUACCAGUGUUUGGUGGGUAUCAUGGGUGUGAUAACUAUCUACGCUUGUGGUUUUUCCACCAGGUAACCUUCAGCAGUGGAGGUUCGCUGGAGCUCAUAGAUGUCUCUCCUCAGUGAGGACAGCCCUUUGAAUGUUUGAUCUCAAAUCAGGUAGGACUACCCGCUGAACUUAAGCAUAUCAAUAAGCGGAGGA